UGAGGAAUUUUGCGCAAUGGGAGCAAUCCUGACGCAGCAACGCCGCGUGGGUGAUGAAGGCCUUCGGGUCGUAAAGCCCUGUCAGGUGGGAAGAAUGUCCCGGGACUGAACAGGUUCCGGGAGUGACGGUACCACCAGAGGAAGCACCGGCUAACUCCGUGCCAGCAGCCGCGGUAAUACGGCGGGUGCAAGCGUUAUUCGGAAUUACUGGGCGUAAAGCGCGUGUAGGCGGUGCGGCAAGUCUGAUGUGAAAG
rnacentral:rRNA from 1 species